rnacentral:rRNA from 1 species
CUUGAACGCUGGCGGCAUGCCUUACACAUGCAAGUCGAACGGUAACAGGCCUUCGGAUGCUGACGAGUGGCGAACGGGUGAGUAAUACAUCGGAACGUGCCCGAGAGUGGGGGAUAACGAGGCGAAAGCUUUGCUAAUACCGCAUACGAUCUCAGGAUGAAAGCAGGGGACCGCAAGGCCUUGCGCUCACGGAGCGGCCGAUGGCAGAUUAGGUAGUUGGUGGGAUAAAAGCUUACCAAGCCGACGAUCUGUAGCUGGUCUGAGAGGACGACCAGCCACACUGGGACUGAGACACGGCCCAGACUCCUACGGGAGGCAGCAGUGGGGAAUUUUGGACAAUGGGCGCAAGCCUGAUCCAGCCAUGCCGCGUGCAGGAUGAAGGCCUUCGGGUUGUAAACUGCUUUUGUACGGAACGAAAAGACUCUGGUUAAUACCUGGGGUCCAUGACGGUACCGUAAGAAUAAGCACCGGCUAACUACGUGCCAGCCGCCGCGGUAACAC